rnacentral:rRNA from 1 species
GUGAGGAAUAUUGGACAAUGGGCGCAAGCCUGAUCCAGCCAUGCCGCGUGCAGGAAGACGCAUCUAUGGUGUGUAAACUGCUUUUGUACGGGAAGAAACACUCCCUCGUGAGGGAGCUUGACGGUACCGUAAGAAUAAGGAUCGGCUAACUCCGUGCCAGCAGCCGCGGUAAUACGGAGGAUCCAAACGUUAUCCGGAAUCAUUGGGUUUAAAGGGUCCGUAGGCGGUUUAAUAAGUCAGUGGUGAAAGCCCAUCGCUCAACGAUGGAACGGCCAUUGAUACUGUUAGACUUGAAUUACAAGGAAGUAACUAGAAUAUGUAGUGUAGCGGUGAAAUGCUUAGAUAUUACAUGGAAUACCAAUUGCGAAGGCAGGUUACUACUUGUGGAUUGACGCUGAUGGACGAAAGCGUGGGGAGCGAACAGGAUUAGAAACCCUUGUAGUCC